rnacentral:rRNA from 1 species
CACGCUGUAAACGAUGAAUGCUAGGUGUGGGGAGUCAAAUCUCUGUGCCGCAGUAAACGCAAUAAGCAUUCCGCCUGGGGAGUACNGCGAAGAACCUUACCAGGGCUUGACAUCGUACGAAUCCUUCAGAGAUGAGGGAGUGCCUGCUUGCAGGAGCGUAUAGACAGGUGG